rnacentral:lncRNA from 1 species
AACCCAUGCUCUAAUUUAAACAGCAAGAAACAUAUUUCAAACAAAAGCACAUUACAGUUCUAAGUCACAUCAAUAUAUUAAAACUAAGCCACUAUAGAAAAUGGAGGCAUACACAAUCAAAAAUGAAAGCAAAAAAUUAAAAAUAUAUUAUCUCCUGAAAUGGUAUCUUCUCUACCCUACAAUGAAUAUGCUCCUUUCAAAUUCAAUGUAAAUAAAAUCAAAAAAUCGACUUUGAUAUCAAAUGAGACCAUGAAGUACUAGAAGCCAUGAACUUCUUAUGUGAAAUGUGUUGUUUGUAUCAAACAGGUUGUGUUCUACAAAAGACUGCACAAGGUGUACUUUGUUCAUGCCAUUCCAAAGUCACCAUCAGGGAAAAUUUUAAGAAAAGACCUCAGAGCUAAACUAGCAGAAAAGACCCCAGAGCCAAACUAGCCACUGCCACUGCCGCGCUUGUGCUAUAGUAUUCUUUGCAUCAAAGAGAGCUUUUCAGGAUGGUUUUAUGGCAUCAAUCAAAAA